GAUGAAGAACGUAGCGAAAUGCGAUAAGUAAUGUGAAUUGCAGAAUUCAGUGAAUCAUCGAAUCUUUGAACGCACAUUGCGCCCGCCAGUAUUCUGGCGGGCAUGCCUGUUCGAGCGUCAUUUCAACCAUCAAGCCCUGUGCUUGUGUUGGAGCCCUGCGGCUGCCGCAGGCUCCCAAACCCAGUGGCGGGCUCGUCGUCGUACCGAGUGCAGUAAACAUACCACGCUCAGGGCACGCGACGGGUGACCGGCCGUAAAACCCCCCCCCUUCUCAAGGUUGACCUCGGAUCAGGUAGGAAUACCCGCUGAACUUAAGCAUAUCAAUAAGCGGAGGA
rnacentral:misc_RNA from 1 species